GCUCUCGUGGUGUAGUGGCUAUCAUACUUUCUUAGGGUCCAGUACUGGUCUCUAAUCCUCUUCGGAUUCGUCUCCGUUCUCUAGCUAUGGAAGUGGUCCUGGGUUCAAAUCCCGGCGAGGGCC
rnacentral:tRNA from 1 species